GAUGAACGCUGACAGAAUGCUUAACACAUGCAAGUCUUUGGCGAAGCUGUGCUCGCACAGCCUAGCCAAGGCGGACGGGUGAGUAACGCGUAAGGAACUUGCCCUGCAGUCAGGGAUAACAGACGGAAACGACUGAUAAGACCUGGUAAAGUCAGGCGGACUCAUGUCCAGCCUGAUGAAAAGAGAUGCUGCAGGAGAGCCUUGCGUCCUAUUAGCUUGUUGGUGGGGUAACGGCCCACCAAGGCGAUGAUAGGUAGCCGGCCUGAGAGGGUGGACGGCCACAAGGGGACUGAGAUACGGCCCUUACUCCUACGGGAGGCAGCAGUGGGGAAUAUUGGACAAUGGGGGCAACCCUGAUACAGCAAUUCUGUGUGCACGAUGAAGGUUUUCGGAUUGUAAAGUGCUUUCAGCAGGGAAGAAAAAAAUGACGGUACCUGCAGAAGAAGCGACGGCUAAAUACGUG
rnacentral:rRNA from 1 species